rfam:Schistosoma mansoni strain Puerto Rico chromosome 4, complete genome
GCACUACUGAGGAGUCCCACAAUAGGACGAAACGGUCGUCCAGUGU